GGGAAGAGACAGCCUCAGACUGGAACUGGCUUCUGAACAGAUGUGUUUCAUCAGCUGAAAGAAAGAAAUUGAGCAAUAUUUUUCCUAAUGUUAGUCUAAGGGUGCUGAUCCAACAAGCACAGGUGCUCUGUCCUUCAGAUUGUUAAUAUGCUGAAUUCAGAAGAGGGCUCCAAAAGCAUCUAGAUCUCAAGAAAAAAUCUGUCUUAUGAAGAGACUGUGUUCGUUCAUUGGAGGGCUUUGUUAUCUGACGGAUAAGUAAAGAGGAUGGAAACAUCAAGCAGCCCCAGCUAUUGUACGUCACCAGGCAAUGUCCUACUGCCACCUUGUGUUGAGCAAAAACAAGGAAUAGUUCAUAUUUCACAGGCUUCUAAACAAGAAAAAAAAAAAAAA
ensembl:lncRNA